AGAGUUUGAUCCUGGCUCAGGACGAACGCUGGCGGCGUGCUUAACACAUGCAAGUCGAGCGGAAAGGCCCUUUCGGGGGUACUCGAGCGGCGAACGGGUGAGUAACACGUGAGUAACCUGCCCUGGACUUUGGGAUAACCCUCGGAAACGGGGGCUAAUACCGGAUAUGACCUUGUGCCGCAUGGUGUGGGGUGGAAAGUUUUUCGGUCUGGGAUGGGCUCGCGGCCUAUCAGCUUGUUGGUGGGGUGAUGGCCUACCAAGGCGACGACGGGUAGCCGGCCUGAGAGGGCGACCGGCCACACUGGGACUGAGACACGGCCCAGACUCCUACGGGAGGCAGCAGUGGGGAAUAUUGCACAAUGGGCGGAAGCCUGAUGCAGCGACGCCGUGUGAGGGAUGACGGCCUUCGGGUUGUAAACCUCUUUCAGCCCUGACGAAGCGUGAGUGACGGUAGGGGCAGAAGAAGCGCCGGCCAACUACGUGCCAGCAGCCGCGGUAAGACGUAGGGCGCGAGCGUUGUCCGGAUUUAUUGGGCGUAAAGAGCUCGUAGGCGGCUUGUCGCGUCGGCUGUGAAAUCCCGUGGCUUAACUGCGGGUCUGCAGCCGAUACGGGCAGGCUAGAGUUCGGUAGGGGAGACUGGAAUUCCUGGUGUAGCGGUGAAAUGCGCAGAUAUCAGGAGGAACACCGGUGGCGAAGGCGGGUCUCUGGGCCGAUACUGACGCUGAGGAGCGAAAGCGUGGGGAGCGAACAGGAUUAGAUACCCUAGUAGUCC
rnacentral:rRNA from 1 species